rnacentral:rRNA from 1 species
CGUAAAGCGAGCGCAGGCGGUUUUUUAAGUCUGAAGUUAAAGGCAUUGGCUCAACCAAUGUACGCUUUGGAAACUGGAGAACUUGAGUGCAGAAGGGGAGAGUGGAAUUCCAUGUGUAGCGGUGAAAUGCGUAGAUAUAUGGAGGAACACCGGUGGCGAAAGCGGCUCUCUGGUCUGUAACUGACGCUGAGGCUCGAAAGCGUGGGGAGCAAACA